GCGACUAAGCGUACACGGUGGAUGCCCUGGCAGUCAGAGGCGAUGAAGGGCGUACUAAUCUGCGAUAAGCGCCGGUAAGGUGAUAUGAACCGUUAUAACCGGCGAUACCCGAAUGGGGAAACCCAGUGUGAUUCGUCACACUAUCAUUAACUGAAUCCAUAGGUUAAUGAGGCGAACCGGGGGAACUGAAACAUCUAAGUACCCCGAGGAAAAGAAAUCAACCGAGAUUCCCCCAGUAGCGGCGAGCGAACGGGGAGGAGCCCAGAGCCUGAAUCAGCAUGUGUGUUAGUGGAAGCGUCUGGAAAGGCGCGCGAUACAGGGUGACAGCCCCGUACACAAAAGCGCAUGUGCUGUGAGCUCGAUGAGUAGGGCGGGACACGUGGUAUCCUGUCUGAAUAUGGGGGGACCAUCCUCCAAGGCUAAAUACUCCUGACUGACCGAUAGUGAACCAGUACCGUGAGGGAAAGGCGAAAAGAACCCCGGCGAGGGGAGUGAAAAAGAACCUGAAACCGU
rnacentral:rRNA from 1 species